rnacentral:misc_RNA from 1 species
GUGAAUCAUCAAAUCUUUGAACGCAAAUUGCACUCUUUUCGGAGCGUAUGCCUGUUUCAGGGUCAGACUCAAUAAAAUCGUCAUACUUGCUGUUACGCGGUAACAUUCGUCUGAUAUGGGGUCAUCUUAAACCUUUGGGUUUAAGCGGCUUUAAAUUUUCUUUACGAUACCAAGAACGUUUCUAAGAUUUUAUUUUCUUAUACGUUUAUGGUAUCGAUCUUUAUUAGUCGUGGCCGUUGCAUCGGCUGUCGUU